rnacentral:rRNA from 1 species
CCUACGGGGGGCAGCAGUGGGGAAUAUUGGGCAAUGGGCGCAAGCCUGACCCAGCAACGCCGCGUGAAGGAAGAAGGCUUUCGGGUUGUAAACUUCUUUUGUCAGGGACGAAGCAAGUGACGGUACCUGACGAAUAAGCCACGGCUAACUACGUGCCAGCAGCCGCGGUAAUACGUAGGUGGCAAGCGUUAUCCGGAUUUAUUGGGUGUAAAGGGCGUGUAGGCGGGAAUGCAAGUCAGAUGUGAAAACGAUGGGCUCAACCCAUAGCCUGCAUUUGAAACUGUAUUUCUUGAGUGCUGGAGAGGCAAUCGGAAUUCCGUGUGUAGCGGUGAAAUGCGUAGAUAUACGGAGGAACACUAGUGGCGAAGGCGGAUUGCUGGACUGCAACUGACACUGAUGCUCGAAAGUGUGGGUAUCAAACAGGAUUAGAUACCCUGGUAGUC